GUGUCCGAUCCCUCCCUAGGGGAGAAGUUAUCACCCUUGUGUUACAGGCUCAAGCCGAGGUGCAUCGUCUAGUGAGAAGUCCGAAGAUUGUAAUCUGACUCAGUGUCCUGUCAACGCUCGAUAAUGUUUGGAAAGCUGGUGGCGUUUCUUAUUGGCACCUAUGCUGGGAUUUACGUAGAUCAACACUACAAGCUUCCAAAGGUGGAUGAACCAUCAUCAAUAUGGAACAGAAUCAAAGAGUUUUCAGAACAGUACAAAAAAGACAACCCAGGCUCAUCAAAAGGGGACUGAAUAUUGGUGGAAGUAGGACUGUGAUAUAAAAGUGGGAGAGUGAAGAUGAUUGAAUUACAAAAUGUACAAAACUUUUUACCUAAAUAUUUUGAAUGAAAUUUGUGUAGACACUAUGAUAGUGUGUGAGAGAGAGUGAGUGUGUGCGUGCAACCAUGCACAUAAGCACUUGACCGAAAACAGACCUUCCAACUUUUUUUUUUGGUAAUAUAUAUUUGAAAAUCUCAGCUAUAUGUGAUUGUCUAUUGCUACAUUAUACAGUAAAAAAAUUGAAAAUUUUCA